rnacentral:rRNA from 1 species
UACGGGGGGGGUAAGCGUUGUUCGGAAUUACUGGGCGUAAAGGGCUCGUAGGCGGCCAACUCAGUCGGACGUGAAAUCCCCGGGCUCAACCCGGGAACUGCGUCCGAUACUGGAAGGCUUGAAUCCGGGAGAGGGAUGUGGAAUUCCAGGUGUAGCGGUGAAAUGCGUAGAUAUCUGGAGGAACACCGGUGGCGAAGGCGACAUCCUGGACCGGUAUUGACGCUGAGGCGCGAAAGCCAGGGGAGCAAACGGG